rnacentral:lncRNA from 1 species
AGCUAAUCAUGGAGUGAUUCAGCCGAAGUAGAGGGAAGAAGAAGGUCACUCAACAAGGCGUGUGAGGUGCUUGGAGAGUUGGCUGAGGUAUCUCCUCAAUGGAAUGAUGAUGUGGUGGAGGUUCAAGCAUCAAGUCCAAAGGAGAUGGAGGUGCUUUCCACAAGACUUAUCAUGGAGCUAUCAUGCGCUCACCAUCAAGCUUAGACCUUCCCUAUACUUGGUCUCAAGCCUGAAGAGGAGUGUCGAUGAGCUUGCAUGAUAAGAGAAGGAGCUGUUAAGCUCAGCAAGUGAGGGAUUCAAGUGGUGUGUGAAGAG